GAUGAACGCUAGCGACAGGCCUAACACAUGCAAGUCGAGGGGCAGCGGGGGAGUGGCAACACUCCGCCGGCGACCGGCGCACGGGUGAGUAACGCGUAUGCAACCUGCCCGCACCAGGGGGAUAACCGGGAGAAGUCCCGUCUAAUACCGCGUAACGCCUCAAGGGGGCAUCCCCAUGAGGCCAAAGGGUUUCCGGGAGCGGAUGGGCAUGCGUGACAUUAGCUAGUUGGCGGGGUAACGCCCACCAAGGCGACGAUGUCUAGGGGUUCUGAGAGGAAGGUCCCCCACAUUGGUACUGAGACACGGACCAAACUCCUACGGGAGGCAGCAGUGAGGAAUAUUGGUCAAUGGGCGCAGGCCUGAACCAGCCAAGUCGCGUGCAGGAAGACGGCCCUAUGGGUUGUAAACUGCUUUCAGUCGGGAAUAAUUCGUCGGUCGUGACCGGCGUUUGCAGGUACCGUCAUAAGAAGACCGGCUAAUUCCGUGCCAGCAGCCG
rnacentral:rRNA from 1 species